GGUCAAGCUACAAAGGGCGCAUGGUGAAUGCCUUGGCAUCAGGAGCCGAUGAAGGACGCGAUAAGCUGCGAUAAGCUUCGGGUAGGCGCAAAUAGCCUGAGAUCCGGAGAUCUCCGAAUGAGGAAACUCACAUGGGAAACCCCAUGUAUCCUGUGGUAAAUACAUAGCUACAGGAGGGUAAACCCAGGGAACUGAAACAUCUAAGUACCUGGAGGAAGAGAAAGAAAAAUCGAUUUUCUUAGUAGCGGCGAGCGAAAAGGAAAGAGCCCAAACCGGAAACUUGUUUCCGGGGUUGCGGACAGAGCAUAAAAUACAUGAUAUGAUUAAUCGAACACAGCUGGAAAGCUGGGCCAUAGAGAGUAAUAGCCUCGUAAGUAAAAGUCAUUAAUGUCAGCUCUGAUCCAGAGUACCACGAGACACGUGAAACCUUGUGGGAAGCAGGGAGGACCACCUCCCAAGGCUAAAUACUACCUGAUGACCGAUAGUGAAGAAGUACCGUGAGGGAAAGGUGAAAAGAACCCCGGGAGGGGAGUGAAAUAGAAUCUGAAACCGUGUGCCUACAACCGGUCAAAGCACCAUAUGAGUGUGAUGACGUGCUUUUUGUAGAACGAGCCUGCGAGUUACGGUAUGUAGCGAGGUUAAGUACUUAAGGUACGGAGCCGAAGGGAAACCGAGUCUGAAAAGGGCGACUAGUUGCAUGCCGUAGACCCGAAACCGGGUGACCUAUCCAUGGCCAGGUUGAAGCGGAAGUAAAAUUCCGUGGAGGACCGAACCACGUUGGUGUUGAAAAACCAUGGGAUGAGCUGUGGAUAGCGGAGAAAUUCCAAUCGAACUCGGAGAUAGCUGGUUCUCCUCGAAAUAGCUUUAGGGCUAGCGUCGGAUGUGAGUAGCGGAGGUAGAGCACUGAAUGGGCUAGGGGGCGUAUAGCUUACCGAACCUUAUCAAACUCCGAAUGCCGCAUACUAUUAGUCCGGCAGUCAGACUGCGACAGAUAAGUGCCGUAGUCAAAAGGGAAAAAGCCCAGAUCGUCAGCUAAGGUCCCUAAGUAUAGAUUAAGUGGUAAAGGAUGUGGGAUUUCGAAGACAACUAGGAUGUUGGCUUAGAAGCAGCCACUCAUUGAAAGAGUGCGUAAUAGCUCACUAGUCGAGAGAUCCUGCGCCGAAGAUGUCCGGGGCUAAAAUCUAUCACCGAAGCUACGGGUUGACACGUAAGUGUCAGCGGUAGGGGAGCGUCCUGUAUGGGCUGAAGUCGUACCGAAAGGAGCGGUGGACUGUACAGGAGUGAGAAUGCAGGCAUAAGUAGCGAGAAAUGAGUGAGAAUCUCAUUGGCCGAAUACCUAAGGUUUCCUCAGGAAGGCUCGUCCACUGAGGGUUAGUCGGGACCUAAGCCGAGGCCGAAAGGCGUAGGUGAUGGACAAUCGGUUGAUAUUCCGAUACUACUGUCAAUCGUUAUUACCGAUGGCGUGACGCAGGAGGAUAGUGUGUGCUAGCUAUUGGAUGCUAGUCUAAGCAUUUAGGUAUACAGGAUAGGCAAAUCCACCUGUAUAAGCUGAGAUGUGAUGGGGAAGGUCCCACGGGACCGAAGUACAUGAUUCCACGCUGCCAAGAAAAGCGUCUAGGGAGAAAGAUAGUACCCGUACCGCAAACCGACACAGGUAGGUGAGGAGAGAAUCCUAAGGCCGACGGAAGAAUUGCAGUUAAGGAACUCGGCAAAUUGACCCCGUAACUUCGGGAGAAGGGGUGCCAUGGAGACAUGGCCGCAGAGAAUAGGCCCAAGCAACUGUUUAGCAAAAACACAGGUCUCUGCUAAAGCGAAAGCUGAAGUAUAGGGGCUGACGCCUGCCCGGUGCUGGAAGGUUAAGGGGAUCACUUAGCGCAAGCGAAGGUGUGAACUUAAGCCCCAGUAAACGGCGGCCGUAACUAUAACGGUCCUAAGGUAGCGAAAUUCCUUGUCAGGUAAGUUCUGGGAUCGUCAGGUCCUGUGGAGUCAUCCUUGGGAUACCACCCUGACAGUACUGGGAUUCUAACCGGACGCCAUGAAACUGGCGACGGGACAUUGUUAGGUGGGCAGUUUGACUGGGGCGGUCGCCUCCUAAAAUGUAACGGAGGCGCUCAAAGGUUCCCUCAGAACGGUCGGAAAUCGUUCGAAGAGUGUAAAGGCAGAAGGGAGCCUGACUGCGACACCUACAAGUGGAGCAGGGACGAAAGUCGGACUUAGUGAUCCGGUGGUACCUCGUGGGAGGGCCAUCGCUCAACGGAUAAAAGCUACCUCGGGGAUAACAGGCUGAUCUCCCCCAAGAGUCCACAUCGAC
rnacentral:rRNA from 1 species